GGCUGGGCUGGGCUGGGCUGGGCUGGGCUGAGGAGCCCUGAGGGCUGUGAUC
rnacentral:miRNA from 1 species